rnacentral:rRNA from 1 species
UACAGAGGGUGCGAGCGUUAAUCGGAAUUACUGGGCGUAAAGCGCGCGUAGGCGGCUUUGCAAGUCGGGUGUGAAAUCCCCAGGCUUAACCUGGGAACUGCAUUCGAGACUGCAUUGCUAGAGUAUGGGAGAGGGAAGUGGAAUUUCCGGUGUAGCGGUGAAAUGCGUAGAUACCGGGAGGAACACCGGUGGCGAAGGCGGUUCUCUGGGCCUGUGCUGACGCUGAGGAGCGAAAGCGUGGGGAGCAAACAGG